CCAAAACAAACCGGCCGAAAGGCCUUGCCCGCGGGAGGUCUCCCCCCCCAACGGUAAACCCUUUGUGAAAACCCCUUCUUUUUGCCUCGGCGGCACCUCCUUUCGCGGGAGGGUCAGCCCGCCGGCGGCACCAUUUGAAACCCUUUUAGCAAUGUAGAAUUUUGUCUGAAUCAAUGGUCGAAUGACUAUA
rnacentral:misc_RNA from 1 species